rnacentral:rRNA from 1 species
UGUAAACCUCUUUUAGCAGGGAGAAGCGAAGUGACGGUACUGCAGAAAAGCGCCGGCUAACUACGUGCCAGCAGCCGCGGUAUACGUAGGGCGCAAGCGUUAUCCGGAAUAUUGGGCGUAAAGAGCUCGUAGGCGGUUUGUCGCGUCUGCUGUGAAAUCCCGAGGCUCAACCUCGGGCCUGCAGUGGGUACGGGCAGACUAGAGUGCGGUAGGGGAGAUUGGAAUUCCUGGUGUAGCGGUGGAAUGCGCAGAUAUCAGGAGGAACACCGAUGGCGAAGGCAGAUCUCUGGGCCGUAACUGACGCUGAGGAGCGAAAGGGUGGGGAGCAAACAGGCUUAGAUACCCUGGUAGUCCACCCCGUAAACGUUGGGAACUAGUUGUGGGGUCCAUUCCACGGAUUCCGUGACGCAGCUAACGCAUUAAGUUCCCCGCCUGGGGAGUACGGCCGCAAGGCUAAAACUCAAAGGAAUUGACGGGGACCCGCACAAGCGGCGGAGCAUGCGGAUUAAUUCGAUGCAACGCGAAGAACCUUACCAAGGCUUGACAUAUACGAGAACGGGCCAGAAAUGGUCAACUCUUUGGACACUCGUAAACAGGUGGUGCAUGGUUGUCGUCAGCUCGUGUCGUGAGAUGUUGGGUUAAGUCCCGCAACGAGCGCAACCCUCGUUCUAUGUUGCCAGCACGUAAUGGUGGGAACUCAUGGGAUACUGCCGGGGUCAACUCGGAGGA